UGGGGAAUAUUGCACAAUGGGCGCAAGCCUGAUGCAGCCAUGCCGCGUGUAUGAAGAAGGCCUUCGGGUUGUAAAGUACUUUCAGUCGGGAGGAAGGUGGUAAGGUUAAUAACCUUAUCAAUUGACGUUACCGACAGAAGAAGCACCGGCUAACUCCGUGCCAGCAGCCGCGGUAAUACGGAGGGUGCAAGCGUUAAUCGGAAUUACUGGGCGUAAAGCGCACGCAGGCGGUUGAUUGAGUCAGAUGUGAAAUCCCCGGGCUUAACCCGGGAAUUGCAUUUAAUACUGGUCAGCUAGAGUUUUGUAGAGGGGGGGAGAAUUCAAGGUGAGGCGGUGAAAUGCGUAGAGAUCGGGAGGAAUCCGGGGGGCGAAGGCGGCCCCCUGGACAAAGACUGACGCUCAGGUGCAAAAGCGUGGGGAGCAAACAGG
rnacentral:rRNA from 1 species